AAGAACUGGAUCUCUGAGGGCAGGGCGUCUCCUUCCACAUGCUCGUGGCUUGUACGCGGGGCUUGGCACCCCCACCCCUCCCACACACUCGGCGGGGGUUGGGGGGGUGGGGAGGCCUGGUGCACUGGGGUAUGGUCUAUGGCUUCACCUGGGGCGCAAACCCAGGAUUUUCUGUGUGUAAAGCAGAUGUGCUAACCACUAUACUAUGGUGCCACUCCCACAAAUGCCUUCUUAUGUUGAGGAAAUUCCCUUCUAGUCCCAGUUUUUUUUUUAAAUCAUGAAAGGGUGUUAGAUUUUUGUCAAAUGCCUUUUCUGCAUCAGGUGACAUGAUCAGCUGGUGUCCUCCCCCUCCCCCCACAUUCUGUUUAUGUGAUGUAUUGUACUGAUUUUAUGUUGAACCAUUCUGACAUUCCUGGGAUAAAUCCCACUUGGUCAUGGUGUAUAUUCCCUUUAAUAUGCUGUUAGAUUUGUUUUGCUAGUAUUUUGCAUCUGUAUUCAUUAAAGAUAUUGGUACCUUUGUUUAAAUUUGUCAGAGUAAUACAGGCCUCAUAGUAUGAGUUAGUAUUCCCCCUCCUCCAUGUUUUUGGAAGAGUUUGGGAAGGAUUGAUAUUAAUGCUUUAAAUUCUUGGUAGAAUUCAGUAAUGAAUCUAUCUGGUCCAGUAUUUUUCUCUGUUGGGAGGUUUUUGAUUACUUAUUCAAUCUCUACCUGUUAUAGAUCCUUUCAAAUUUUCUAUUUUUUCUGAGUCAUUCUUAGCAGUUUGUGUCUGUCCAUUUCCUGUAGGCAUACAGUUGCUCACAGUACUCUGUUACAUCCUUUUUUAUUUCUGUAAGAUCAGUAGGAAUGCCCCCAUUUCCUUUCUUGAAUUAUUUGUGUCUUCUCUUUGUCAGCCAUGCUAAAAGUUUCUCAAUUUUGCUGAUUACUUUAGUAGUUUUAAAGGUCAAUUUGCUGAUAUGUUGAGUUCCAUCUUACUUAAUGGCUUUGGAAUUGUCCCUCAGGAUGGAUGUCUCUCUGAACAAGGUUGAGAGGAGUAUGUGCUUGGCCUUAGAAGGUGCCAAAAAUGCACUUAAUCAUCUUUAAGUGAGUGGAAAAAACCUCUCAGCACAGAAGAUGCCAAGAGCCCCUUAUGUUUGGUGAAGGCUUGCACACAGCCUGUCUUAUGUGCGAUGAGCUGUGCCCCUCGCCUGGUUGCUGGGGCAAGAAGGGAAGCAGAGUGUGAGUCCUCCCUGGAGACAGGCCCCUGGCUGAGCUUGCUGCUCUGGAUGGAGCCAACAGCCAGGCCCAGUGGGUUGUCCGAGCACAGCCACCGCCCAGUGGACAGUGCCUGGGUGUCUAGAGUCCCAAGUCCCUGGGAACAAGCAGUGGUACAGGUGGUCUUUCCAUUCCAGGUAUUUUCCAGUGGAGCAUGACCUCUUGGCUCCAACUCUGCAGGUCAAGCGUAGGGCUGGCUCAUCAAGGUGUGGCCCCCAAGGUGGAGAGUUGGGGUCACCUCAAUGUCUCCUGGUGGCAGUGUGUGAUAGGGCAGAGGUCUCGUAUGCCUGGGCAACCCCUAGACUAAGAAACUUUCCAGAAUGUGGCAUGGCCUCAGGGACAAGCUCAGCAGCUUUAGAGGGUCCUGCCUAGGACCUGGGUAUAAUGGUGGCUUGGGCAUCCAGACAUGUGACAGCCAUGGGGGCAUAAUGCUCUGCAUGGGAAGAAGCCCCCAGGGGGUGUGGACUCAGCAGAGAGCAGGUGGAAUAGGAAUGCGUUAAUUCUCAGCUCCUUGCAUGCCAGGUGCCUGUCAUCCCCUGAUUAUCCCCCCUUGGGGUUGGUUCCUUCCCAGGGUCAGGUCCCACCCCGAGAGCAGGGCCUCUGUCCUGUUGUCUGAGACAACCCCUGCUGCCCCUCCCAAGGAUCCUGGACUUACUCUUAGGUUUUAGCAGUUGAAUGUAGCAGCUCUGGCAUGUUCAUGUGAGUAUGAUGUACAUUCAGUUUCCAACAGAUGCCUGUGCUUCCUAUCAAGUAGGGCGGAGAGCCCUCACCCAUGGGCCCCAGAUGGAUGAUUCAGGAGGAGAGCAAGGGAGGAAGAACAGGCCCCCAUUCACUCACACUCAGCUGUCUGGAGGGAAGGUGAGCAAAUGCCUCCUCCUCAUGUCCCUGAACCUCCCUCCCCUCUGCAAGUUUCUCUUAGGCUGCCCAACAAACAACAGAUUCUAAUGAGGCUGGAGAGAGGGCAGUGUCAGGCAGAGCAGAUGUGAGUAGUGUUAAGGUCCUUCUCUGUCAUCACGUAGGCAGUUUAUCCUGCAGACCUGUAUUGGGUGCCACUUGGCACUGGGGGCCAGGCUGAGCUCCCCAGUAGCCCGGAACAUGACCAGGAACAACCCGGGGCCCAGUGAAGGCAGGGCAAGAUGGCCCUGAGGGGCAUGGGCACUGAGGCCUGACAAGCUGGUGGGUAUGAAGUAUGGAGAGGAUGUAGGGUGUGGCUGGGGUGAUGGGCAGUGACCCCCAGGUUCAUGCUCAGGGAGGCACAGCCAUAGGAGUACUCUGAGUAGAGGAAAGGUGUAGUCUGACUCUCUCUGACAGGAAAGUGUGGCCUCAGCACAGGCUCCAAAGUGUGGCCUCAGCACAGGCUUCUGGUGGAUGGUGGGUGUCAGAGGUCACUCAAGCUUCUGGAAGUAUGAGGGGCUGUGGGAGGAGCAGGUCUGAUGAGACUUCCUGUGUCAGAGGGCAAGGCCUCACUCUGACCACUAUGCCCUCACAACCUGUACUUGGGGUCAUCUGUGAUGUCCCCAGGUGAGUGGAUAUUUGUCCUGUAACAGGAUGGGUGUGGGGCUGCCUCAUUCCUGAGGUGCCCCUGAUCCAAGGGGACUCAGUGUCAUCCUGCCCCUGGCCUAAACAUCACCUGUGGUGCUCUUUGCCGGGGUAAGGUUGCUCCAGAGGGGCCUAUGAGGAACCCCAUCAACCAGGUCCCAGAGCAGAUGACUUGGGGCAGGUAGGGCUCUGGAGAAGGAGACUCCGUGGCGUCUAGCCCCACUGAAGGCCGAGUGCUCAGCCGCAAGCAUCUGGAGCCCACCGGGGCUGGAGGGCAGGACAAGCUGUCCUUCCUCAGGAGCCCGUUUCCCUUCAUCAGGUAUCCGUGUGACUACGUGGUGGGCAAGGAGAGGACAGACCACAUCUGGGCCAGAAAGGUGGCUGAAACGGGAACCCCAGCUACGUGAGGACUUGGUUCUUGAGGCUGCCAGGCCCAGAAGGAAAUAAGAACCCCAAGGUGGCGUCAUCGAAGCAGGCAACACUGGGUAUGAUGGUCAGCCAGUUCAGGAAGCUCAGAUUCCCACUGAUGAUAAGGACCACCUAAGGGAUGGAGCAGCGCCUCAGACCCAGGCUGAGUAGAGACCAAGGACAGCUGCCUGUGCAGACUCUGCCCAGCACUUGGGGUGCUCUAUGGGUGGCAGCCCGGCCAUCCCCUCCAGCUGCCCACAUUUCACCUGCUCCACCAGGACCCAGCAACUCUGCAGCGAUGCAUGGAUUCCAUAUCCAGAGGCUCUGAGGCCAAGGGUUUCUAGUUUCUUCCCAGAAGCACAUGUGGGUACCUGUGCUGAUUCCCAAGGGACCAGGGUGGCAGGAGGCCAUGGUCCAGGCCCUGUUUCUCCUCACAGGCCACACACCUGGCCUCCCUCAGACCUGCUACCAAAAUGUCCAUGCCUUGAACGAUCUUGGAGGUGAAUUCUCCCCAGGGCCUCCAGCGAGGGCCCAGCUUGCCGACACCUUGAUUUUAGCCUCUGAGACUCUACUUGAGGCCACAGUCAAGGCCACCCAGAUUUCUGACCUACAGAACUGUGAGAUAACAAAUUUGUGUUGUUUGAUGCUGUGGUUUGGGGCAGUUGUUAUGGUGAUUGUUAAUCAAUACAGGGCCUGGGUAGCUUCAGGAAUAAUGGGCCCCUUGAACCUUGAAGUAUGUGCCCUUCCCUAGGGAGGGGACUCUGCCACCAGAAGUGGGAGUAUCUGGAGUCUCAUGGUCCCUGGAUAUCCAGGACUGUGCCCUGGUCAAGCAAGAGGUGGGUGAGGCUUUGCUGCUCUCCUGAUCAGGGUUGGGGAAGGCUGUGGUGCGUGCACCAUCUGCCGCCCUGUCCUCUAUGCCUGAGUGACCAUGCACGAGGCUGCUCCUGGGCCUGGGCAUCUGCUGGGAGGGCGUGGCAGGAUCCUGGCAGCCUGUGACCCACCCUUGGACACAGCUUAGAUGGAGCCCAUCUUCCUGAACUUCCACAGCAGCCACGAGGACAGGGCCAGUCCAGGGCUGUCUGUGGGGCGGCUGUCUGAGAGGCUGGUCACUGCCCUUCCUCAGAGGCCUCAAGCUGCCCAGCUGCUACUGCUGCAGGGUCUGGGGUGGGCCUGUAUGAUGUAGGGUUAAAGAAGCUCAUGUGAGAAACUCACAGGCCUAAAAAAUCCCACCGAAAAUGGUGACCGGGGAGGGAAGGCUGCCUUGUCCCCUGGACCCGCUGGGCUCACCUCUGCAGCCUCAGUGCUAACUCAGUGAUCUACAGACACUUUCCAAUCAGAAUCACCUGCAAAGGGACUGAGUCUCUAGGCUGUAGGAACUAAACUUCUGAAUGGACGAGGUGCUGACAGCAUGAGGAUUUCCCACACACCCAGCCUGUCAUAGGACUGCGUCCUGGAGCCACGUCCCAACCAGAAUUUCUGGACAGUGCCUUCUCGCAACUGUACAAUUUGGUCACAGGACAUGGACAGUGACAACAGAGGGUGACGGAGGAGUGACACGACCACAGUGAACAUUCUCACAGCGGAAACACAGGAUGCUGGAGACGUGGCAGGAAUGGGAGACAGGAAUCAAUGUGACAUGGAUAUGGGAAGUCUUCAUUCUUACUUUUUAAGUCAGUUUUAUUGAUACAAUGAUAAAAUGCACUCAUUUUUACCGUAUAUAUAGUUCAAUGGCUUUUCACAUAUUUACUCUUGUGUAAAUCACCACAAAAUCUAGAACUUCUGCCCCCAGAAAGUUCCUUGAUGCCUGUUUGUGUCAACCCCAUACCCCACUCUGUAACCUCUGAACUGACUUCUGUUAUGCCCUGUUGUUUUGCCUGUUCCAACACUUGGUGUCAGCUCCCCUGGCUCAGCUCCACAGCUCCACAGAUUCUGAGACCUGCGCUCUUGGGCCUCAGGGCAUCUCACACCCUGCGGAGGGACACAUGUGAGCAUCUACCUGUCCCCUGACUCCGUGUGGAAUCAAGCCAGCCGGCUCCCUCUCAGGCCCAGGACCCAGCCCGGUAGAGGAAGGCGUGAGGGGAGGUGAGCUGCCUCAAACCUGGGCCUCGGGAAAGAGAAAACGCGCCUGGAGCCAGAGGAGGCGCCGCAGUCAGCGACCCACACGCACUGAGGGAAAGACAGACCAAGAGGACCCCGAGAGGCAGAACACAGGCAAGUGCCACGUGAGAAGAACAGCCAGAUGAACGCGCUUUAGGAGGGACUUUGGGAAAAAGAUGAAAGAAGCAAAUAAAACGCACAAUGAAAAUGGUAAAAUCGCCAAAGAAACAAGAAACAUAAAAAGAGAAUUUCAUGAAGUUCAACAUGUAACUAUAUCUAACCAAAUGGGCACAUUUCUGAAAGAAAAGAUGGUAACAAGCCAAUUGUCACUAAAGGGCAGAGCCGCCCUCUCCCUGUCCAGGUGACUUGACAGGUGUCAUCUUACAGGUUCCGGAGAGCAGAUGGCCUGGUCUGGUGCUGCUGUUUCAGAAAAGUGUGGAGAGAGGGAGUGUGACAGCUGAUGAGGCAUUGAGUAGGGAGGUGAGAUGACAGACACAGGGAUGAGGGGCCGCCCCACCUCCACCCAGGGCACGUCUUCGUGGACACCAGGCAUGACACGUCAUCUCCGCGUGGCCCAGCCUCGAGUUGCCUCACCUCUUCUCUGAGGCUGAGCAAAACUUGGCUGAUGCCACAGUCCUUCAGUUUCUGAAUUUUAAUUAAGCUGCUCUUGAUCCUGGCCUAACGAGGGUCUGAGGGAGGAGCCAGGCUUUCGAUGGGUCUUGUCAGUUUUAUGGAUCACGACAGAGUUUUAUGAUGUGUGACAGGAGAGAUUGUGGAUUCACGGCUCUCCCUGGAUUAAUUUGGAAAACUAGUUUUCCUGGCUGUGAGCCCAAAAAUAAUUAUUUCUUAUUCUUCUCUGUCUAUGAUGUUAACAAACCCUUGUGCCAAAAAACGGCCCAGCCUGCGCCCGCCCUGGGCCGGUGGUCUCUCCCACCAGCUCCACUCAACUGUCGGGCUGCCCAGGCCUCAGGUCUGAGCUGACGUGACUGCUCUGCGCAGACGGGCUUCUUCCUGAAGUCUGCUGAGUGCCACUGGCUCCUGACGGCCUGCGGAAUGAAUGCCUAUCCUGUGGCUGUUGCAGGAACUAUGGUGCUGACAGGCGGGGAGGCUCAGAGCGCCCCCCUGAGGCCUCCCACCCCAGCCCUUAUUCCACCAUGGGGCCGGGCCCUUCAGUGGCGGAUGCCCAGAGUCCUGUGGCUGCUCCAGCCUCCUUCACACCCCUUUGUAGUUGGCCUGGGCCAAGCCCGACAGCAUUCCUGGGCCAGCAUCCCUCUCACUCUCCCUCCUCCUGUGGUCUGACCUCCAGUUUUUGUCUCUGCAGACCUCCGUGCCCACUCAUUUCCUCAGUCUCCUAGCUGUGUCAGCAACUUGCAGGGACAAUGUCACAGAAGCUCGGCUGCUCUCUCUAUGCCCCUUCCUGGGAUUUUGGCUAUUCACGUUCUGGUUGCCUGGUGGCUCUGCACCUGUUGGUAAAUGCCUCACACUGUAUCUGGCAUGGCUCAGUGGAUGGCUGGGACACUGCAUCGGGAGUCUCCCUCUCUGUGGCUCUGCCAUGUGGCUAAGGCCUGCCGUGUAGUGGAGAUCAGGACAAGGAUGAGCCACUCCUCUGUGGGGCUGCUGUCUGGGACCUAGAGGUAACAGACCACCUCCGAUCCUCCACUGCCUAGUUCACAGCUGAGAUGACUGCCAAAGCUGCGGAGGUCCAAGCACAUGGCAGUCCUCCCACUGGAAAUGCCGCCGGCCCUCAGGGCUCCAGUGAAGACGCAGCAAGAGUGGGAUGGAGGGACAAGCAGCUCCUGCGCACAUUCCCCACAGACCUCAGGGAGGCAUGGUUCCAGAAGCUCCCCUCUGGCCUAGCGAGGACACUCUCCUUGUGUGCCAAGAGGAUGAAAGGGGCACAGGACACAUGGAGAACAACCUGCUUGACCUCACGCCUGCCCCUCAGGGCUGGUCCACACCCGGGUCCUGCAGGUAACCGAUGGGUACCAGGCAGCUGCCCUCUCCUACCACUCUCCACCUGAAGGGAUCCUCUUGCUCUGUGAGGCCCUAUCCUCUGCUGGCCUCUGGGAGAAGUGCCAGCACCCACCUCUACCCCUGAGAGAUCUGCCUGGGUCACACACUCACUCCAUCAACUCUUGUACCACUAGAUGACACAGCCACUGGUACCUGCAAGACUGAGCAAGGCAGCCUGGUGGCUUACUGGGGGUGCCGACUUGCCCAGAGAGUCUACCUGUGACAGGCCUGCUUGACUACCUUGUCCAGGUUCAGUCCGAUCUGCACAUGCACCGAGGCACAGUCUCACCUUCUGGCCACUCGCGGCUCUCUGAGACCCUAGAAGGCCUGGUGCAGGGAGAGGCACCCAGAGAAACCUGGGCUAAUUUGAAAGGAUCCCGAUCAGUAAAGGACAUUUAUUCAUCUGCGUCCUCAUGUAACAAGGAACACAAUAGGAAAAAUUGUAACAAGUGAAAAGCAGAAUGCAGACUGCUGAAAUCUGAGUUAGUGGUUUAGAAAACUGACUUGAGAAAUCCUGCCUGAAUGUGGUACAGAAAAGGGAGAACUGAUGAGGGAAAUGAUACAGAUUCAGUAAAGUCAAUGGCUUCACGAUCAACUCUCCAGGAAAAGAAUGAUACAAAAAGAACUGAAACUGAUGAAGCGAAAGCAGCCCUGGGCCUCAGAGGAAAGGGUCCAGGACAGAUUGUAGGAGCGAGAUGCAGCCCACGUGUAUCCUGGUGGUUUCUCAUUUCCAAGGAUGAAUGAGAAGUAAAAACAGUAUAAGCAUUUAGAUUGAAAAUGUAAAAAAUGAGAAAAAAAAAAAGCGAGGGCAAGGUGGUCCAAGAAGUGACGAGCCCAUCGUCUAAAAACUGGAAUUCAACGUGUGGGUGGCAGUGUUUGCCAAGCUCUGAGAGGACCCUCAUCCUGUUCUGAGUCCGUGCAGACGUGGGUUCUUGGUGAGGGCCAGGAAAGGCUUUUCACACACGAUCGCCCACUCAACUCCUGUGAACAAAGUCAGGCUGGGCAUCUGUGUGGUCACAGGAUUUCUUGGCGGCAGUGGGAAUGUUUAAAAGGAUAAUCAGGACACAGUCGCUGGGUCUGGCUCCUGACUGAGAACUGACCUGAACAACGUAGCUUGGUGUCCGCCCCAUGUUCCAUUCUUUAAAUACCCAUCACUGAGGACGUGUCUACCCUGGCACCCUCGCCAGUACCUCCAUCCUGCCUGCUUCCCUGAAAACACUUGGGAUCGUACUCCCAGAUAUUCACUUCCUUCCACUGUGAGGAGCAGAGCUGGUGAGAGGAGGACUCAGGGUGUCACAGGAUUGUACACGGGAGUGGCAGCCGUGCAUAUCACCUCCGCCCUCCUUUACCCGCAGAAGCAAGGCCCAAGCCCACGCCAUCCUAUCCUGCCUCCUAGCUCUGACUUCACAUUCCAGGGAUGAUGGUUUUCAAGGUUAAGACUCCACCAGUGACUUCUGCCUCAGGACAAGAGGGAGGAAGUGGUGCUGGAAACUCCACUGCCAACACAAACAACUGGAUUUUGAACAAAACAGAUGAAACAACUGUUGUAUGACAUGUGGCUACAGGCACUGCAGGACUCUUGACUCAGAGAGGAGAGCAGCAAACAGAGUUGUGACAACCUUGGACUCUGCGUGGAGGUGUUUAGCAGACCUACACAGGGAGGGAGUCCCAGGAGGGCAGAGCCUGAAGUUAGGCAGGUUGAGGGGCUGACUCCACACAGAAGGACGCACACAGGAGCUGCAGGACUCUGCCUUGGUCCCUGCGAGUCUGCCAAUCACUGUGCUCACAGGCACGCAGAAGCCUCCAUGAGGCCAGGGAGAGAGGAUGACCAGUAGUCCAGGUAGUCAGCACAGCUCAUGCAGGUUUAGGAGGCUUGAGUUCUGAUGAACUCAUGUGGAGAGACCUUAUGGGAAGCCAGGCAUGCAGCAGAGACCCCAGCAAUGCAUCCUAUAAGCAAGGCUGGAUGAGCCACAGCGAAGGCUGUUUUAGACCCGCCCAGGAGAUGUGAAGACAGAUGUCAAGAUGAUGAAACUGACUCACAAGUAAAUCAACUGCUUGUCAGGAGAGGAUUCAGCACUACAACACAAGAGCCAGCAUCUAAUCAACAGUUAACACACAGGCAGGUUAGUAGCAGCAUGCAAGCUAGAGCUAGGAGAGAACAGUAGGCUCAGACAAAGGCUGAGAUGAUCUACAGAGAGUAGAUAAGAAUUUUAAAACAGCUACUGUCAAUAAAUUAAAGGGUUUAAAAGAAAAUGUCAUAAUUAAGAGAAAUAUGAAAACAAUAAAGAAGAAUCAAGUGGUAAUCUGAGAAUCUAAAAGGUAAUCUAUGAAAUAAAGAACUUACUGGAAGGCUUUGGACAAAACUGACACAGCGAAAGAGAAAAGUCAGAGGCUGAGAACUUUCUCAACUGAAGCACAGAGAGCACCAGAGCUGAGCAGAACGUGAGUGGCCCCUGAGGGACCCGGGGGACAAUGUGCUCUGGUCUAAAACACAUGCGAUUUAUGUCCCAGAAAGGGAAGGUUGACAGAAACAAUAUGAAGAAAUCAUGUCCCAAAACCCUCCUCAUUUGAUGGAAACCAUAAAUGCAUACAUCAAAGAAGUCUAAGAAAUCACGAGCGGGAUAAACUCAAGUCCACAUCAUGGCAUACCAACUCAAACUGCUGAAAGCCAGUGAAAAAGACAAAAUAUUAGAAGCAGCCAGAUGGGAAGUCGCAUAACGAACCAGGAUGGGCAGAAAUGAUAGAUGCAUCUUCGUUGAAAGAAAACGCCAUCAAGCUGCAGCACUGCAGCUGGGAAAAAACCUUCGAAAACCUCAGUUGAAGUAAAGACAUUCAGCAGCCUCCACUAAGACACAUUAAAAAAACAAAUGGAACAUUCUUCCAGCAGAAAGAACACGAUUCCUGUGGAUUCUUAGGUUUGUACAGAAGAAAGCAGAGUGUCAGAAAUGGCGAAUAUGUGGAUGAAUAUUAAAUAUCUAAAAAAAUCUUAAUAUUUAAAAGAUAAUUGACUAUUUAAAAAAUUGGGUGUGAUGGUUGUGGUUGCUGAAAACAAUGGUUGCAAAGAUGGUAAUGGCAAGUAAAAACAUCUACACAGCACUGUGGAAGCUGUGGUCGCAGCUGGGCAGGCACAUUGCUGUGGCAAGAAAAUGCCCAUGGGAUUGUCGAGGGGCGGGGCGGGCAUAUGAUGGGUUCUCUUCUUCCAUUUUUAUUUUACAAAUCAGUUAUUUUCCACUUAAAAUAAGAAAAAUUGCCAUCGGGGGACUCUUGGCACCUCUUGGAGUCUGCUGGCGACUCCAGACACAUGAGGGCCAGCAAGAAUGCUCAGCCCCCGGCACCACGGCUCCCACAGGUGGUGAUGGUGCAGAGGCUCCGGGGGGCCUACCUAGCUUCGAUUUGGGACUACUGUCUUGUUGGCUGUAACCUGAACCUUCCUGGGAGGACGGAUGGCCCAGGCCACCUCUGUUGGUCCAUAAUCUCACUCACUUAUGGUGAAUAAGGGGGUUUGGUGGUGGCCAUGCAUGCAGACCUGACCAGGAUUCUAGGUGAGCUACAGACUCCCUCAGGAAAGAGGGUCCAGCUGCUCAGCACAGGCAAAGCUGGGACCUGCGUGAGGUCUUCUUCAGCCUUUGAAAGACAGAAUUGGAAAAACAACCAGUCCCCCCACACCGCCCCCCAUGUAAGCACAAGAGAGAGGCCCGC